AGUGCGAUAGCUGGGUCAAAUUGUUCCAUUCCAAGUUUUCCAAGGAAUCUCCAUACUGCUUUCCAGAUUGGCUGCACCAAUUUGCAGUCCCACUAGCAAU
rnacentral:pre_miRNA from 1 species